AAAAUAUUUUAAAAGCUCUACAUAAUGUGUCAUAUUAAGAGGAUAUUAAGCUGGGGAACAUAGGACCCUGGG